UAUACAAAUCGGCUAAAAUUUCCUAUUUCCGGCCCUUGAAACCGCCCCCCUAAUUCCUCCUCUCGUCAAAUCCUCCUCGUCGUGUGGCAGUUCCUCUCGCCGGCGAACCACCGAGAGCUCUUCUCCCCGGCGGCGAAUCGUCGAAUCGUCCCGCUCGGUCCGGCAGCCGCCCUCCGCCGUCCGCCGAAGAAGGAGAACGGGAGCCGCGGGGCCUCUGGCGGUUCCACCGAAGAACGGCAGGCAGGCGGCCAGUCGCGCGCCCACCGCCGCGUCGAUUGGCAUUGGAUUUGCCGAUCCAUUGCUUUCGUUUGUUGAGUUCGAAGCGAAACGAUCCGAUGAGAUUCUUCAAGGGGAGCAAGGUGGAGGUGUUGCAGGAGGCAGAGGUGCCCUUCGGUUCUUGGAGGCCCGGUGAGAUCGUCUCUGGCAACGGACACACCUACUUGGUGCGAUACGAUGAAAGUCCGGUUGACUCUGGCGUGGCUGUUGAAAGGGUGCCAAGAAGGUUGAUGAGACCUAGCCCUCCUGCGGAUGAUCCAGUAUGCUGGGCUGUGGGUAGUAUUUUUGAGGCCUUUGAUAGCUACUCGUGGAAGGUUGCGGAGGUAGUGAGAGUGCUUGGCAAGAACCAGUAUCUUGUCCGGCUCCUUGGGUCCUCCUUGGAGUUGAUGGCACAGGCAUCGGAUCUUCGAUUGAGGAAGCUUUGGCUAGAUGACAAAUGGAUUGUGACUCAGAAGUAUUCCGCAAAAUGCUUGGAUGGUUCAUUCAGAGGUGGAUCGAAAGAUGGAAAUUUAGGCUGCAACUUUGGAAUGGACUGCCAUAUUCAACUUGAAAACCAGAAUGCUUUUGAGGGUGCUACAUCUAGAGGCAUAAAAAGAAAAUCAUCUGCUAUAACAACACAUCCUCAAUGCAGUGAAAUCACAAAGAGAUUGCGGACGCCGCAAAGAAAUGGAAGGCACUCAAAGCUGGUUGAUAGAGGUUCACUCCGUUUGGCUGAAAAGAAGUGGUGGUCCACCUGUUGGUUUUGAUGAGCAAGCCAGAAGCAAGUUAGUCAAUGUUAUAAGUACAAGCGAAGAAUUUCUAAGUUGUAGGAUUAUGUACCUUUAGGCUUGCAAGUGGCGCGCACUUUGCUGCUAGCCUGCUGGACUGACCACACUGCAAGCCCGCAUAUCGCCACUAUUCAUUCAGCGUAGCUGAAGCUGCUCUCCGCGUGUAGCACAUGGGACCCUGCAGCGCUGCAGAGCCUGCAAACAACACAGUCGAGGUUAGAGAGAAGGUUGUGAGGGGGAGAGCGGCGCCAUCCGCUUGUCCAUUGCAUGCGUGCCUCAUCGCUGCUACCACCGGUUGCUGGCGGAUCCAUUACUGACCCCAGUGUCACCAGGAUAGCAGAUUCUCUUAAGUGUAUGCACCCGACUACUCACCCGCCUUAAUCCCCAAACUGGCAGCCAUCACCUCUUCAUUCACCUCUUCCUCAGUCCCUUCGCAGUUCUGCAGAAGCUCUUUCUUGAUAAAUUUUAUUCCUGUUUGGUUCCAUAGUUUGGAGGCCAACCAAGACAAGAGCAUGUGGCAGCAGCAGUUGGACUAUCACAAGGGGUGCAAGAAGAAAGAGGGUAUUCAGCUCUUGCUACCGCCCCGAGUCCAAUUGUGUACGUCUAUCAAUGAUGACUACUGAUGUUGUUUCAUAUACAACUCUCAAAGUCUGAAGAUUAAGGUUUAGUUCACAAUUUUAAGCACACUUAGGCAUACGAUCUCUCACCUUGUGUGCUAUCUCGUAUCCACUUAUCAAACCUGGAGAUAUGGGUAGGAUUAGAAUAUUUUCCAGCAUUUGCAGGCAGACCAGUACAAUCUUGCUCUAGGUCAGUGUUCCAAAGCCUGGAGAUAUGGUAUUUUUAGGACCUUGCUCCAGAUUAAAAGCAACCAUAAUAAGCUUGCUCAGAACUUUUAGGUUCUGUAUGUGGUGCUCAUCCUGCCUGCUACAUUGUUCAAAUGUGCUGUCCAUAUGCACAGAGCAUAUGCUAGUGCAUUUAGUAAAGUUGACCUUCAUUUCUCAA